rnacentral:misc_RNA from 1 species
UUUCAAUCCACGAUGCACACGUAGUCAUCCUUAUUUCAUUGAUAGGAGCGAUGUGACCAACGAUUUUAAACUUUUCAUAAAGUUGUCCUAUAGGCUCAAUCAGAGGAGUAUAAGUUUUGUAGUCUCUCCUCAACCUUGAUGAGGUUUUUGCGGAUAUGCGGUCGAGUGAUGACUUUGGCAUUGUGGUCAGGAUAUGUUGGUUGUCGAUAUGGCAUAGGAGGCCUUUGGUACAAAGACAUUUGAUAUGGAGGGAUUGGAAGUGGUAUGAGAGGCGCAUGAUGCCAGGGAACUUGGUGCAGAGGUGUUUCGUAUUGAGGAGCUUGCGUAGUAGGAUGAUGCGGGUGUGAAGUAAGAUGUUGAGGUUUAGAAGCAUAUGCAUGAUGCUGCGGAGGAUAUGGGUGAUUUGGAAAGUAGAUGUUCUUUGGAGGCAUUUGAAUGGAGAUUGGUUGACUUUGAGAGGUAGAGUAAUCUGG